rnacentral:tRNA from 1 species
UUCAAUGUAGCAAAAUAAUGCGGUGGAUUUAGAAUUCACAGAAGGAGGUUCCCUUUGAAU